GUAUUAUUUAAUCAGGAAUCGAAGAAGACAUCUGGGACGAUCAAAAAGAAAAUUUCUGGAAAAGGAAUGUUGUAGAGAUUUGCCUAAAAAAAUUAAAAAAAAAUUUGCUGGGGAAAUUUUCUUUGGUCGAAUCUAAUAUAUGCAGGUCGAGUCAAACUUAUUUCGGGUGAUCCCUGAACCCGAAUGACACGCACCCCGGUCCAGCCCCACUCCCCUGUUUCUUCGCAUCCAAUCGAGUUCAAACUUUCGUUACAUUGUACUAUCUGGUCAUUAUCACAUCCGCGAUUAGCUAUUCAAAGUCUUCCUAAAAUUCCAUGUGCAAGCCAUCCACGUAUCAAGUCUUACACAUCAUCUCCCUAUUCUUCCACCACAUCUCAGCCACGUCAUAAUGUCUUCUAAGCAUUCCCACUCUACCCUGUUCCAUGUCCAAAGAACAGGGUCAUCCCAAGACUUCUCAGCCGACCUCAUGUCUCACGAUAUCAUCUCCAACAAAAAUCCUUUUUCCUCCACGUCUCCUCCCAGAUUUUAUCUUUCCAUCGUAUCUCUAUCCCAUGCUCAUCCCAGCGUUCCGGAUCACAUUCUCCACAACCGGAACAGAGCCGAGACCCAAGGAUGAUUUCCUUAUCCGAACCCCAUGAAACAACCAAAGCCACGUCUUCAUCUGGAUUAUUUCCCAGCCGAGAUCCUCUUAGUUCACGCUCGUCCUGGCCAAUAGCAUAUCAUCUUCCACCUCCCACCAAAUCCCGAGUCUCCAACGUCCACUUCAUCCUCUUCUCCGGAUCACAUCUACAAAUGGAUUCCCCUGUUUCAACUUCCACGUCCUCGACCAAAUCCCGAGUCCCAAGCAUCCAUUCAGCAUCUCUCAAACCCCCGCGUCCAAGCAUCUCAACAACCAACUCAUCUUCAUCUCCCAUGCUUCCGAUUCUUCUUCCCAAACUUCACGGAAACAGAACACAAUAGCAUUCAACCAUUCUAACUUCAUCCUCCCAAGCUUCACGUGCUCUUCCCCUGUUUCGGAACCAACCAUCAGCGUAAUCCGCUCCCAAGCUUGAUCCGAGUUCAUCCCGAGCUUCACGGCAUCCAGCUUAUCCCCUGCAUCCAAGAGAAUCCACCCUUCAUCCCGUUGUGAUUCAUCCUCACCCGUGAGCCAUAUCCUCCUUAUCCCCCGGAUCAACCAUCAGCCAAAUGGACAUGUUCCCAACCGAAAGCCAUAUCUUCUCCCGUCCGUGUCAUCUUCCCAUCAUUUCUUCAUCACAGAACCAACUCCAAGCUUCAUCCCGUUGUGACCUCAUCCUUAUCCUAUCUCCUGAUUUUUAUCAGACGCCCGAGCUGCCGAAUCCCAAGGAUCAUCUCCCAGCCAUCUUUCGGAUGAGAACCAGCAACCACAUGAGAUUUCCAACGUCCGCAAGCAAGCCUUCAUCCCAGCCGAAUCCAAACUCCCCUGCUUCAGCGGAACAGGGGCGGAGUCUUCCCAUCAGUCCAUGGAUAAGCUUCCCAUUAUUCGCGGAACAGCACCUUAUCUUCAUCUCCGAGAGCAUCCAACUGAGCGAGGGAUCACGGAUCAAUCUCCCUUAUCCACGGAAGAGUUCCAGCUAAGCUAAUCCUUAUCCUCCCAACCAUUCGGAUCAGCCACAAAAGAGGAGAGAGGGGGAGAUGGCAGCCUAUAAAGGCCAAGGCAGAAAACAGAGAAGGCAUUCUUCUCUUCCGUUCCUCCUUCCCCACCGGGGGGGGGGGGGGGGGGGCAAUCCCUUCUUCCUCACCGAAGGGAGUCGGCUGAUCAUCUUCUCAGAGGGCGGGGAGAAGCUAAGUUCCCACGAAAGAAUAAAAAAAAA